rnacentral:rRNA from 1 species
AGCGAACGCUGGCGGCAGGCCUAACACAUGCAAGUCGAACGAACUCUUCGGAGUUAGUGGCGGACGGGUGAGUAACACGUGGGAACGUGCCUUUUGGUUCGGAAUAACUCAGGGAAACUUGUGCUAAUACCGAAUGUGCCCUUCGGGGGAAAGAUUUAUCGCCAUUAGAGCGGCCCGCGUCUGAUUAGCUAGUUGGUGAGGUAACGGCGCACCAAGGCGACGAUCAGUAGCUGGUCUGAGAGGAUGCCCAGCCACACUGGGACUGAGACACGGCCCAGACUCCUACGCGAAGGAGCAGUGGGGUAUCCUGCGCAAUGGGCGCAAGCCUGACGAAGCCAUGCCGCGUGAAUGAUGCAGGUCUUAGGAUUGUAAAAUUCUUUCAGCGGGGACGAUAAUGACGGUACCCGGAGAAGAAGCCCCGGCUAACUUUGUG